GACGAACCGUGCGAACGUUAUUCGGAUUCACUGGGCUUAAAGGGCGCGUAGACGGACGACCGCGUCGAUGGCUGAAAGCCCCCGGCUCAACCGGGGAACGGGCCUCGAUACGGGUCGUCUCGAGUGGAGGAGGGGGACCUGGAACUUCCGGUGGAGCGGUGAAAUGCGUUGAGAUCGGAAGGAACGCCUGCGGCGAAAGCGAGGUCCUGGACUCUGACUGACGUUGAGGCGCGAAAGCCAGGGGAGCGAACGGG
rnacentral:rRNA from 1 species